GAUGAACGCGGCGGCGUGCUUAACACAUGCAAGUCGAACGAUGAAGCCCAGCUUGCUGGGUGGAUUAGUGGCGAACGGGUGAGUAACACGUGAGUAACCUGCCCUUGACUCUGGGAUAAGCCCGGGAAACUGGGUCUAAUACCGGAUAGGAGCGCCUGUCGCAUGACGGGUGUUGGAAAGAUUUUUCGGUCAUGGAUGGACUCGCGGCCUAUCAGCUUGUUGGUGACGUAAUGGCUCACCAAGGCGACGACGGGUAGCCGGCCUGAGAGGGUGACCGGCCACACUGGGACUGAGACACGGCCCAGACUCCUACGGGAGGCAGCAGUGGGGAAUAUUGCACAAUGGGCGGAAGCCUGAUGCAGCGACGCCGCGUGAGGGAUGACGGCCUUCGGGUUGUAAACCUCUUUC
rnacentral:rRNA from 1 species